UUGGCGGACGGGUGAGUAACGCGUGGGUAACCUGCCUUAUACAGGGGAGUAACAGUCAGAAAUGACUGCUAAUACCGCAUAAGACCACAGCACCGCAUGGUGCAGGGGUAAAAACGUACCGGUGGUACAGGAUGGACCCGCGUCUGAUUAGCUGGUUGGUGAGGUAACGGCUCACCAAGGCGACGAUCAGUAGCCGGCUUGAGAGAGUGAACGGCCACAUUGGGACUGAGACACGGCCCAAACUCCUACGGGAGGCAGCAUG
rnacentral:rRNA from 1 species